CACCUAAAUUUACAGAGAUAAUUUAAAACAUGUAAAUAAGAAAUUGAAAAGUAAUCUGCAAUUUGGUUUCUUCAGAAGCAAUGAGCAAAAGAAAACGGGAGAAUGAGACCAACACAGAAAAGAAAACAUCCUUUUUACCCCUAAGUUGUGCGCGAUGUCCUACUUCCUUCCCUUCUUCGUUUUGGCAGCCUUCCCCUUCAUUCCUUUCAUUCUUCGUAUUUUCUCCCCCCGCGCUGUCUCACUUUCAGAGUCUGUAAGACUCACUCACGACUCAGCAGCUGUUCAGCCUGACUCGUGCCUCAUCUCAGCCUCACUCAGUCCUUCCUCUACGUCGACCACUCGCCCACCUCGCACUCACCCUCGCGGCCCACAAGCUUCCUCUCGCCGUUUCGAGUCUCGACAGCCCACCUUGAUUCCUCGAUUCCAAAAGCCAAAACAAACCCGUGCUUCCUCCCUUUUCGUCUUCUCCUCUCACAAUUUGCGCCUUUAGUUCUCAACUGGAUUCACAGUAAACGCCUAUAAAUUUAGAGAAUCUGAUGGGUUUGCUUGGAUUCCAGAGUAAAAACCUUGAAACUUAAAGCAAUGCUAUUCUUGCUGAAGACCUGCCAUGUUGCGAGGUAGAAGGAGAGGAAGGUGAGGUAUACGGACGAGCUGGAGAGGAAGGUGCAGACACUUCAGACUGAGGCAACCACCCUAUCAGCACAGGUCACUCUAUAAUAGGGCUUUAUGAGUAUGAUCAUGAUGCGUCAAAAGCUAUGGAGCUGGAAGUGGCAAUUAGAAUUAAAGUGAUAAUACAUAUGAAAUUAUCUACAGAAACUCAAAGGUGGUUACAGUGGAGACCAAUAUUCAGAACACAGUGGACAAGUCUUUACAAGCUAAUCCUACCGGUUAUAGAAACGACAUCCUUUGUCUCUCUGCUUACUUGCUUUUUAACAUGGAGAAAAAUUAUUCUCUACUAACACCCGGUGGAAAGCCACUGUUCAUUAACAGUGUCCACCCGAUUUUGCCCCUCAUUCUCUUCAUGGUUUUUUAGUUUUAGUGGGGUUGUAUGGUGAAUUGGCCGUUUUGCCCCUCUCUCUUUUUCUUCCGUGCGUGCCCUCAGUUCCACACACUUCCAAAUCCCUAAGGGUGCGUUUGUUGCGCCGGACUGUCUCGGACUGGACUAGCUGCCGGGACUAAGCUGGACUGGUUUAGACUGGACUAAGCUGGACUAACUUAGUGAAGCGUUUGGUGCAGUCUCGGA